rnacentral:rRNA from 1 species
AUUGAACGCUGGCGGCAGGCCUAACACAUGCAAGUCGAAUGGUAACAGGAAACAGCUUGCUGUUUCGCUGACGAGUGGCGGACGGGUGAGUAAUGUGUGGGAAACUGCCUGAUGGAGGGGGAUAACUACUGGAAACGGUAGCUAAUACCGCAUAACGUCGCAAGACCAAAGAGGGGGGCCUUCGGGCCUCUUGCCAUCAGAUGUGCCCAGAUGGGAUUGGCUAGUAGGUGGGGUAACGGCUCACCUAGGCGACGGUCCCUAGGUGGUCUGAGAGGAUGGCCACCCACACUGGAACUGAGACACGGACCAGACUACUACGGGAGGCAGCAGUGGGGAACAUUGCACAAUGGGCGCAAGCCUGAUGCAGCCAUGCCGCGUGUAUGAAGAAGGCGUUCGGGUUGUAAAGUACUUUCAGCGGGGAGGAAGGGAGUAAAGUUAAUACCUUUGCUCAUUGACGUUACCCGCAGAAGAAGCACCGGCUAACUCCGUG